rnacentral:lncRNA from 1 species
CGCCUGGUGUUUGAGGCGGCCGUGGGGGGUCAGCCGAAGGCCGGGGAAGGCCGGGUCGAGACGCGGGGUCGCAUGUUCGGCUUUAUUAGUAUCGACUCCCUCUCGUCUGUAAUAGAGACCCUCCUGGGCUGCGCAGUUUCCGAACAGGGAUGUGGUCACUCCUGGCCUGAUCCCCACGCCCAGGCCCUCGGGGCUCCCAUUUGCUCGGUGGGGAAACCGAGAGCUGCAGUGCUUCCCGCCCCCCAGAGGUCCCACGUGCUCGCGGUUCCCGGGCGUCUGCUGUGUGCCUGCGUGUGCGGUCGUGUGGGAACCCGGGCCCUGCUGUGCGGGGGGCUGCCGAGGGCACUGGGGACCCCAGAGCCUCCUUCGUGGCCUGGGGGCUUCGGAGAAGACGAAGCUGUCCCAGAUUCGCUGUUCCUCCCCUCCACACUCAGCCCCCGCCAACCUGGGCCUUGGUGCCAUACUGACUUUUCUGCUGGUCAUCCAACACAGUUUCUCGAUCACGGUGCUAGUGACCAUUUGGGCCGGAUCACUGUUUGCUGUGGGGGCCGUCCUGUGCAUUGUAGGAUGGUCAGCAGCGUCUCUGGUCUCCACCCACUAGAGGCCAACAACACUCCCUCUCCGCCCGCUCCCCUCCCCCACACCUUAUGAUACCUGUCUCUGGACAUCACCUCGUUGAGAACCAUUGCUCCAAGGCAGAAAGAGCCACUCCGCAGGCUCUUUCUCAGACCAGAAUGCCCUCCUACCCCAUCCCUUCUCAACUCCUGCUGGAAAGCUCCCUAGACUAGGUAGGGUCCCAUUCCAUGCUCAGUGGCACUCAUCUAUGUUCCAUGACAGCAGGGAUGGGGUCUGCCUUUGCUACCCAAGUGUCCCCAACAAGCAGCCAGGGGCCUGAUCAGAAGCAGGUGGUACUCUUUUGAGUUGAAUGAGUGAGUUUUUGCAGCCUCCCAUACGGUUUCCAGGGCCCCCAGGUGGGCUGGAACUCAGUGUGAUCUGAGCCCGUGUGGACCUGUCUCUGCCCUGCAGGGUCUUUAUGAAGUCUCCAGUGAAUUCACACAUGUAAAACCCUUGACUUCCACCUCAACCCAAACGUUCCUUUCACUUCAGCUUUUGCCUCCCCAGCCAGAAAGGAGGCUGCCCCAGGCACCAGGAGGGCCACGUGAUCAGAGCCCAGAGCUAUGGAGGAGUAAAGAGGGGGAGACAAGGAUGAGGAGAGAGUUGCAGCCACCAGAGAUUCCUCUGCAAAGCCGUUCACGGGACACCAUGGGCCCUGAGGCAGACAAGCACCCUGACACAGAGGAGACUACAGGAAAUCACCCGAGGCGCGCAGGCCAGGCCCUGCGGUGUCCAGACCCUCAGUUUGGACCCAGGCCCCUCCCCAGGUCUUGCUCCAGGACGUGGGGGCAGAGGACAACAAAAGUCCUGUUCCAAGGUGCGGGGAGCCCAGCAGACGCCAUCCAGCUCCUGACUAGUUAACCUGGAGUUAAUCAGAAGUCGAU